rnacentral:rRNA from 1 species
AUUGACCGCUGGCGGCAGGCCUAACACAUGCAAGUCGAGCGGAGCGGCGGACGGGUGAGUAAUGCCUAGGAAUCUGCCUGGUAGUGGGGGAUAACGUCCGGAAACGGGCGCUAAUACCGCAUACUAUCAGAUGAGCCUAGGUCGGAUUAGCUAGUUGGUGGGGUAACGGCCGACCACGGCGACGAUCCCUAGCUGGUCUGAGAGGAUGAUCAGCCACACGGGGACUGAGACACGGCCCAGACUCCUACGGGAGGCAGCAGUGGGGAAUAUUGCACAAGGGGCGCAAGCCUGAGGCAGCCAUGCCGCGUGUAUGAAGAAGGCCCUAGGGUUGUAAAGUACGUUCAGUCGGGAGGCGUUACCGACAGAAGAAGCACCGGCUAACUCCGUGCCAGCAGCCGCGGUAAUUC